rnacentral:rRNA from 1 species
AUGCGCAGCGCAGCGGCCAUGGAGAAGCUCGGCGCGAACCCGGCCAACUCCUGCCCGCUCACGCCGCUCGGCUUCCUGGAGCGGGCGGCCGUCGUGUUCGCCGACUGCCCCUCCGUCGUCUACCGCGCCACCGUCUUCACCUGGUCCCAGACCUACCGCCGCUGCCUCCGCCUCGCCUCCGCGCUCUCCGCCCUCGGCGUCUCCCGCCGCGACGUCGUGUCCGUGCUGCUGCCCAACGUGCCGGCCAUGUACGAGGCGCACUUCGGCGUGCCCAUGAGCGGUGCCGUGCUCAACACCAUCAACACGCGCCUCGACGCGCGCGGGGUCGCCGUCCUGCUCCGCCACUCCGGCUCCCGGCUCGUCUUCGUCGACCCGGCGCUGCUCCCGCUGCUCGACGACGCGCUCCGGCUCAUCCCGCCGGAGCACCCGGCCCCGCGCGUCGUGCUCGUCGAGGACCCCCACGAGAAGGAGAAGGAUCAGUUCCCUCCGGCCCCGGCCACGGAUCUAACGUACGAGAGGCUCCUCGAGAUGGGGGAUCCGGAGUUCAAGUGGGUCCGGCCGACCAGCGAGUGGGACCCGAUGGUGCUCAACUACACCUCCGGCACCACGGCUGCGCCCAAGGGGGUCGUGCACUGCCACCGCGGGAUCUUCUUGGUGACCAUGGUGUCGCUUGUGGACUGGACGGUGCCGCCGCGGCCGACGUUCCUGUGGACGCUGCCCAUGUUCCACGCCAACGGGUGGAGCUUCCCCUGGGGAAUGGCCGUCGUCGGCGGCACCAACAUCUGCCUCCGCCGCGUCGACGCCAAGGAUGUGUACGCCGCCAUCACGGAUCACGGGGUCACGCACCUCUGUGGUGCGCCCGUCGUGCUCAGCAUGCUGGCCAACGCGUCGGAGGGUGUGCGCAAGCCUCUGCAUAGGAAGGUACGGAUCAUGACUGCUGGCUCGCCGCCGCCCGCUGCGGUGCUGCAUCGUGCGGAGGCAUUGGGCUUUGAGGUCAGCCACGGGUACGGGCUGACAGAGACUGGAGGCCACGUCGUGUCCUGCGCGUGGAAGGGCGAGUGGAACAAGCUGCCGGCGUCGGAGCGCGCGCGGCUCAAGGCGAGGCAGGGCGUGCGCACGCCCGGCAUGGCCGAGGUGGACAUCGUCGACGCCGACACAGGCCGCAGCGUGCCCCGGGACGGCGCCACCAUGGGCGAGAUCGUGCUCCGCGGCGGGUGCAUCUUGCUGGGCUACCUCAACGACAGCGAGGCGACAAAGGCGGCGAUUCGGGACGACGGGUGGUUCUACACGGGGGACGUGGGCGUGAUGCACCCGGACGGGUACCUCGAGAUCCGCGACCGGUCCAAGGACGUGAUCAUCAGCGGCGGCGAGAACAUCAGCAGCGUGGAGGUGGAAUCCAUGCUCUACAGCCACCCAGCGGUGAGCGAGGUGGCGGUGGUGGCGCGGCCGGACGAGUUCUGGGGGGAGACGCCCUGCGCGUUCAUAAGCCUCCAGGAAGGCGCGGCAGGCGUGGUGACCGCGGCCGAGGUCAUGGCAUGGAGCCGGGAGCGCAUGGCGGGGUACAUGGUGCCCAAGACCGUGGUAUUCCGCGGCGAACUGCCCAAGACGUCCACCGGCAAGGUCCAGAAGUACGUGCUCCGGAAGCUCGCCCGGGAGAUGGGCCCCACUCGCAGGGGUAGCAGCAGUAGCAAGAUGUAG